GACGAACGCUGGCGGCGUGCCUAAUACAUGCAAGUAGAACGCACAGUUUAUACCGUAGCUUGCUCCACCAUAGACUGUGAGUUGCGAACGGGUGAGUAACGCGUAGGUAACCUGCCUGGUAGCGGGGGAUAACUAUUGGAAACGAUAGCUAAUACCGCAUAAUAUUGAUUAUUGCAUGAUAAUUGAUUGAAAGAUGCUAUUGCAUCACUACCAGAUGGACCUGCGUUGUAUUAGCUAGUAGGUGAGGUAACGGCUCACCUAGGCGACGAUACAUAGCCGACCGGGUAGGGUGAGCGGCCACACUGGGACUGGGACACGGCCCAGACUGCUACGGGGGGCAGCAGUAGGGAAUCUUCGGCAAUGGACGAAAGUCUGACCGAGCAACGCCGCGUGAGUGAAGAAGGUUUUCGGAUCGUAAAGCUCUGUUGUAAGAGAAGAACGGGUGUGAGAGUGGAAAGUUCACACUGUGACGGUAUCUUACCAGAAAGGGACGGCUAACUACGUG
rnacentral:rRNA from 1 species